AUUUUUAAUUGAUGCAUUGGUGCUCUUCUGAUUAUUCCUGGUUUCUUCCUGAAAUUGCAUACUCUGAGUUGCCAUCUUCUCUAUAGCAAUCUCCCAAUCCGCUUUCUUAGGUACUUGUUGCUGAUACGGUUGUUGUUGCGGCUGAUAUUGUGGUUGGUAAGGUGGUUGUUGUUGUGGAGGUCCUUGAUUCUGAAUAUUACCUUGCUGAUCUUUCCAAGAGAAAUUAGGAUGAUUU
rnacentral:lncRNA from 1 species